UUAGCCUGUGUGGUUUUUCGUUUUAAAAUCCCCUCAGGUUCAUUAUCAAUACAGGAGUUAAAUUGAACACUGUACUACUCAGUUCAACUUUAGAAAAUGCAUUAAGUUAGCGCAAAUCAGUCAUUCAGGUUGCUGUGUGGCAAUGCCAGCAGGCGUUGUAUGCUUUAUCGGACAGGAAAGUGGUGAACGAUUGAGUAAAGAGCUUGAAAGAGCAGUGGGUCGCAUUGGGACGCAGCAGUACAGCACCGGGGACAGUGGCCCAGAACGUUGGACACCAGUGUCGUCAGAGCCGACUGGGUACAUGUCUGUGGAAUGCCUGAGAUCCGUUUGAAGCCUGAGCCGGCUAACUAGGCCCGGGGGCACAACGCGCCGUGGCAACGACCCCAAGGGUUAACUCAAGCCACCGGCGUCCCAAGCCUCCUGCCCAUCGCCGCCCCGGCUGUGGGCUCGGUCUGCCGUCCACCGCUGUGUGCUUUUCCCAGAACCCUCGCUGCCUGCCGAGACUGAGACAGACACAUCUCACGGCCCGUCCGGAUUCAGUCACCGCCAGGGAGACUCCGCUAAAGAGGUCGGAGGUCAGAUGGAAAAGAAUGGAGCAGAGGUCAGUCACUGACGUUUUCCAUUAAAGCUACGCGUUCUUUGGCAUUUUUGGUCUUUAUUGGACAGAAACUGUAGCAAAGAUGGAGGAGUGUGCUUAAAAAAAUUAUUAUUAUUAUGUGCACAAUAUAUAUCACCUGUUCUGAACAUUCCCAAAACAAAUGAUUGAGACUGGUCAUCAACUGUCGUUGAAGUGCUUUAUCAUCUGAUUGAAAGAUUGCCUCUCCAUACGUGGUGCUGGCUACAAACCAGGGUUUUCCUUUGAUGUGGACAGGAUAGCUGUUGGGUGUUGAUGAUUUGUCUGUUACCCAGAGAAACAGGUAUGUUGUUAUUCGGUGACUCGGCAGAAUGUAGGUCACCAAAACACACGCUGUGAUCUUACGGCUCGUCAGAGGGGCUAAGGUGUGUCUUUUGGUUCCUGAAUUUGACACGUUAUCUAUGCAUUGUCUUCUUCAUAUAUACCUGUUAUCUAUGCAUUGUCUUCUUCAUAUAUACCUAUUAUCUAUGCAUUGUCUUCUUCAUAUAUACCUAUUAUCUAUGCAUUGUCUUCUUCAUAUAUACCUAUUAUCUAUGCAUUGUCUUCUUCAUAUAUACCUAUUAUCUAUGCAUUGUCUUCUUCAUAUAUACCUAUUAUCUAUGCAUUGUCUUCUUCAUAUAUACCUGUUAUCUAUGCAUUGUCUUCAUAUACAUACGUAUUUUUAGCAAUUCUAGCACUAUCGGUUCAGGCUUAUUCCGUUUUAAAUGGGGAUAUUUGGGGGAUUUUGUCAAUAAAGCCUGCUCUCUA